UACGUAGGGUGCAAGCGUUAAUCGGAAUUACUGGGCGUAAAGCGUGCGCAGGCGGUUUUGUAAGUCUGUCGUGAAAGCCCCGGGCUCAACCUGGGAAUUGCGAUGGAGACUGCAAGGCUUGAAUCUGGCAGAGGGGGGUAGAAUUCCACGUGUAGCAGGUGAAAUGCGUAGAGAUGUGGAGGAACACCGAUGGCGAAGGCAGCCCCCUGGGUCAAUACUGACGCUCAUGCACGAAAGCGUGGGGAGCAAACAGG
rnacentral:rRNA from 1 species